UUAACCCUAUUCUUUUGAACAAAACAAAUCCCUUCUAUUUUUUUGAACAAAGCAAAUCGCUUUCUUGUAGAUAAUCUUUAUUUCAACACUUUAUUUCUUGAUCAAGUUUUUGUCGUUCUUCCAUAGAAUCUAUCCAUCGCAGGUGCUUCAGUUUUUGUCCGUUCUUCCAUACCGAAUCUAUCCAUGGCAGGUGCUUUAGAAAACAUGGCCGGCAUAAACAUUGUCGUAUCACUACCUAACUGGUCCUCUGCUCAAAAAACCAGUUCAGAAUAUGACAAGGCAAUCAACAACCUACAAGUGAAGUAGAGAACAUACAUCGUCGAGUACGACUUCAAAAGUAUUUUGAAUUUUCAAGUGGUUGGUUGCUUUGGUGCAUGAAUUCUACCCUAAUUGUUUAAAAUAGUACUGUUUUUUGCUUCAAUCUAUAUAUCAGUUUGAAAAUAAAUAGUGACAUUGAAAAUACCAACAAUUUUGCAUAUUUCAUUGAAAUGUAUUGUGCUCUCAACUUGAAGGCAUUUUGGGUUAUUGCAACAUAUUGAGUUUUUUUAUAUUUGGUGUUCAGAAGAAGAUUAUAUC